AGAGUUUGAUCAUGGCUCAGGACGAACGUUGGCGGCGCGCUUAAUGCAUGCAAGUCGAACGAGAAGCCAUCCUUCGGGACGGUGGAAAGUGGCGAACGGCUGAGUAACGCGUGAGGGACCUGCCCUUGAGUGGGGAAUAAUUCCGAGAAAUCGGGACUAAUACCGCAUACGCUCCUUCAUUUAGAAGUGGAGGAGGAAAGAUUUAUCGCUCUUGGAGGGCCUCGUGUUCUAUCAGGUAGUUGGUGGGGUAAUGGCCUACCAAGCCUUAGACGGAUAGCUGGUGUGAGAGCACGACCAGCCAGAGGGGGACUGAGACACGGCCCCCACUCCUACGGGAGGCAGCAGCAGGGAAUCUUGCACAAUGGGCGAAAGCCUGAUGCAGCGACGCCGCGUGAGGGAUGAAGGCUCUAGGGUCGUAAACCUCUUUUCUCAGGGAAGAGCAAGGACGGUACCUGAGGAAUAAGCCACGGCUAACUACGUGCCAGCAGCCGCGGUAAUACGUAGGUGGCAAACGUUGUCCGGAAUUACUGGGCGUAAAGGGCCCGUAGGCGGUCCAACAAGUCGUUUGUGAAAUCUCCCGGCUCAACCGGGAGUGGUCGAGCGAAACUGUUGGACUUGAGGAUGUCAGAGGAAGACGGAAUUCCCGGUGUAGUGGUGAAAUGCGUAGAUAUCGGGAGGAACACCAGUGGCGAAAGCGGUCUUCUGGGGCAUUUCUGACGCUGAGGGGCGAAAGCGUGGGGAGCAAACCGGAUUAGAUACCCGGGUAGUCCACGCCCUAAACGAUGGAUGCUAGGUCUUGGGGGUAUCGACCCCCUCUGGGCCAAAGCUAACGCGUUAAGCAUCCCGCCUGGGGACUACGGCCGCAAGGCUAAAACUCAAAGGAAUUGACGGGACCCCGCACAAGCAGCGGAGCGUGUGGUUUAAUUCGAUGCUAAGCGAAGAACCUUACCAGGGCUUGACAUGCAUGUAGUAUCGAUCCGAAAGGUGAGAGACCCGUAAGGGAGCUUGCACAGGUGUUGCAUGGCUGUCGUCAGCUCGUGCCGUGAGGUGUUGGGUUAAGUCCCGCAACGAGCGCAACCCUCAUGAUCAGUUGCUUUUUCUGGUCAGACUGCCCGCAAGGGAGGAAGGUGGGGACGACGUCAAGUCAUCAUGACUCUUACGUCCUGGGCUACACACACGCUACAAUGGCCGGUACAGACGGUUGCGAAGCCGCGAGGCGAAGCUAAUCUGACAAAGCCGGCCCCAGUUGGAAUUGCAGGCUGCAACCCGCCUGCAUGAACGUGGAGUUGCUAGUAACCGCAGGUCAGCACACUGCGGUGAAUACGUUCCCGGGGUUUGUAGACACCGCCCGUA
rnacentral:rRNA from 1 species